CACGUAGGCGGGAACUUAAGUCAGGUGUGAAAGACCGGGGGCUCAACUCCGGGGUUGCACUUGAAACUGGGUUUCUUGAGGGCAGGAGAGGAAAGCAGAAUUCCUGGUGUAGCGGUGAAAUGCGUAGAAAUCAGGAGGAAUACCAGUGGCGAAGGCGGCUUUCUGGACUGACCCUGACGCUGAGGUGCGAAAGCGUGGGUAGCAAACAG
rnacentral:rRNA from 1 species